AUAUCCCCUAACAUCUAUUUCCUUAUCUUUCAGGUAUGCCAUCACAAAAGCUUUUGUUAUAGCUUUUGUGAUGACUUUCUUCUCAGUGUUUGACGUUCCUGUCUUCUGGCCUAUACUCCUCUGCUACUGGAUUGUUCUCUUUGUCCUUACAAUGAAGCGCCAGAUUAUACAUAUGAUCAAAUACAAAUAUGUGCCUUUCAGUAUCGGGAAGCAGAAAUAUGGUGGGAAGAAGAGUGUCGUGAGCACCAGUUCCUCAAAAGACUGAUUUCGAACCUGCCCCAGUAGGAACUUGCCAGGGGAACAAGAUACGGUGGAUGAUAAUGUUUGAUGUGCUCAAUACCAAGUGUAAUACUUCAUUCAUAUCUAGGAGGUAGACGGAUUUUCGCUCCUGUUUCUGACUCUGGGCUCACUGUUUAAUUCCAUGUUGUGCUUA